GUGGAAUCAGUUUGAGGCGAAUGUGCAAUGAGUGAGUUUGUAUCGUACGUCUAGAAGAAUUUUUUUUAUACAUCAAAAGUGCUUUUAUCACCUUUUUUGUUGUUUAAAUUGAAAACUGUUCUCUUUUCCUGUCUUGUCCGUUUUUUCACGUGCGAAAAAAAUUUAAAAAUUGUGCGUGCGUGAAGUCAGGACUGUAAAUUUUUGACAGGUUCAUCCUGGUCCCAAGUGAAACGUCACUCGGUGAGAUUUUUUAUGAAAAAUCUCACGUUAGAAUUGGAAAUUUAGCAUUCUUCUUUUGAAUUAACUUCACCUGGAGACUCGUAAAGUGCCUCAUUUUCAUCCCGGAUACUGCAAAGAAAAAACGGUCCGGUCCGGAUUUGUAGGCUUGGUUUAAAUUUAAAAAAAAGAAAAAAAGAAAAGUGAAAAGGACUUUCACGGAUGAUAUUUCCGUAAAAGACCGUAAAAGAAGUGUUUUUUUUUAGGAGUAGAAGUGUUUCUUAAGGUGAUUAGUGUCUUUUGGUUUAAGAAAAAACCCGUGAAAAUAAAAACUUGUUAAAUCUGUGCGGAGCAAAGGCCCGAAAGUGUGUCGUAUUGGAUCUCCUCGUCUUUUUGGAUAAUUAAUUCGAGUGGCACAGCAUUUCAUCGAUUUUUGGCAUCGUCAAACGGUCAACGAAUGACAUAAUGGAAUACCUUUUUUGUUAGGCCAUCAAACAAUUCAAUGAAGACACCGAAGGAUUAGCAAAGCUGUAGUGUGCAAGAGAACCAUGGAUCCUGGAGGAUUCGUAGUUGACGAUGACCCACCACCACCUGGAUCACCAGAGCCACGCGAUGGAUGGCUCCUGGUUCGCAUCCACGUGCCCGAACUCAAUGUAUCCAAAUGUCUCCAAUUCCCCUCAGAUCGGUUGGUGUGGAAUGUGAAGCAGCAGGUUCUGGCAUCUCUUCCAAAGGAGCUGAAGGAGUCAUUCAACUAUGGCCUAUUCUGCCCACCAUCGAACGGUAAGGCAGGAAAGUUCCUUGAUGAAGAGCGUCGCCUUGGGGAUUAUCCCUUCAACGGACCAGUUGGAUAUUUAGAGCUGAAAUACAAGAGGCGCGUGUACAAGAUGCUGAACUUGGAUGAGAAGCAACUGAAGGCAUUGCACACACGGGCUAACCUGAGGCGAUUUCUCGAAUGUGUUGGCGGUGGGCACGUGGAGAAGAUCUCCAAAAUGUGCGCAAAGGGUUUAGAUCCGAAUUUUCAUUGCCCCGAAACCGGAGAGACGCCCCUCACAAUGGCCACGGGUGCAAAGAAGCCCAAUAAAUUGCUAAUUGCUCUAGUCAAUGGGGGCGCCAUCCUUGAUUACAGGACACGCGAUGGAGCCACUGCACUCCACAAAGCUGUCGAGAGGGAUUCCCUGGAGGCGGUCUCUACCCUCCUCGAGCUGGGCGCUUCGCCAAAUUACAAAGAUAUCCGAGGAAUGACCCCGGUGUACUUGUCUGUAACGAAGAAGACGGACGCCAAGAUUUGCGAGAGUCUCCUGCAUGAUCACGCUUCCCUCGGCACACAGGAUACCCAAGGAUGGCAAGAGGUUCACCAGGCCUGCCGUAAUGGUCUGGUCCAUCACCUCGAACACUUGCUGUUCUACGGUGCCGACAUGGAUGGUCAGAAUGCGUCUGGCAAUACACCACUGCAUGUCUGCGCUGUUAACAACCAAGAGGCUUGUGCUAGAAUGCUUCUCUUUCGCGGUGCCCAACGAGGCGCCCUCAAUUAUGCCAAUCAGACGCCGUAUCAGGUUGCCGUAAUUGCUGGGAAUUUGGAGCUCGCCGAAAUGAUCCAGAACUACAAAGCUGAAGACAUUGUCCCAUUCCGCGGACCGCCCAGGUACAAUCCGAGAAGACGCUCAGGGCUAGCGUGGGCACCAUCGAGUGCCAUGGGGCGCCUUAUGGGGCCACCAUCGCCCUGCCCGAGCGAACAUCCCUUCAGUUCGGCCAGUUCUAGCUUAUCGGAGAGCUCUUCCAGCCAUAGGAGUCACGAGGAUGAUAUCAGCAUUGUUACAGACAAGAGUAUCGGUGAUACGAGUGACAUUAUCAGCGAUUCAUCGGGAGUGGGUACGAGUUCAGACAGUGCAGCCUGUUCCAUUGGCCAUCCGAGUACAACUGUUGUCUGCAUGGAGCGCUACGUAGCCAAACAACAGGGACAUCUGACCAUUCAACCGGGAGAUGUGAUUGAGGUUGUUGGCUCAACGGAUUGUGGCCUCCUCGAAGGCUAUGUACGUGGCACAAAUCGUUCUGGACUCUUUCCCAUUCAUCACGUGCAGGAAGUCAACAUACGCCAGAAGAACAUCACAAAUGUCUCAACUGCAAGUCAAGAAGUACCGCGUCAAGCGCAGUUUGUACAAAACUUCAACACAGCCACAGAGCCGAGAUUGAAGAAAAUAGGACUUUCGGAACCCCGCACGGUUGUUUUGCAUCGUGGUAAGAGGGGAUUCGGAUUUGUGUUGCGCGGUGCCAAAGCCACAUCACCUCUUAUGCAGCUAAAGCCAUCAGAACGUUGUCCGGCACUUCAGUAUUUGGAUGAUGUUGAUCCCGAUGGAAUCGCCGAUAUGGCUGGUCUUCGCCCUGGAGACUUCCUCAUUGCUAUCAACGGAGAGGAUGUAAGAGCAGCUUCUCAUGAGCAUGUAGUUGAUUUAAUUAGGAAUUCAGGAGCUCUUGUUUCGAUGACGGUAAUCUCGCAGCUCCUACCGGAUCAGCAUGGUUCGCAAAAUGGUAUGCACGGUGGUAGUCGCACCCCCAUUCCGACGCGUCAAUGUGCCACCCUGCCGCGCCAUAUGUCGGGCCUUAUUCCCGGGCAUGGGGGCAAAAUGCCAGCUCCAAUGCCACCGCGUCGGGAUCCGAAGACAACCCUUAGCGUAGGUAGGGCACGUGCAAAGUCAAUGGUGGCUGGGCUCGAAGGGGGUGGUGUGGAUGAUGAUGAUUUGGCACCAACGACCAAGUCCAGCUCAGCUGAGAGUAUUCAUCAGAGUCAGAGUGCUGUAUCGACACCGACACAAGGAGGGCCAGGCACUCCCGUACAGCCACGCACAGCUAGUAUUAAGGCACGACCGACAUCGGGUAGGAUCACGGCAGCUGAACUUGAGGAGCUCUUCCAGCGGCAACAGGGUGAUGCACGAACGGAUGCACGAUAUUCCGGCAUGAUGACGAGCUCACGCUUCCAAUCGGGAGGGGAUUCCGGAACUCCUACGCCUCAAGUGUCACCCCAGAGGGCGCCACUGGUGUACAGCAGUGUUGCUGAUAUGAAACGAAAGAAGAGUCGUCAGGGCACAGCGACACGUGCCAAGCCAUGCUCCAUUCCUCUGGUCAAUGGGGAACUUCGUAGGAACUUCCACAGCACCCCGGAUCUUGCAAGUGCCAGCCAAUGGGCGUCCGGGAGUGUCAAGGGACAUCGCAGUCAGGAUGAUGUUCAUGCAUUGCACAACUCAAUGCAGCGUCUCAAUCUUCCGCCACCCACGCAUCCACCACCACCCCCUCCUGUGGGGCAGGUGGUUAAAGUUGAUGUCUCCCGUUCGGAGUACGAGAGCACUGCGUCGUUGCAGCAGAAGUUGAAGCAGCAGCAGCAACAGGCGGCGAAGGAGGUGCAAAAUGAACCCGUUGAGGUUAUGUCCAGCUUCCGACCAGCUACAAAUGCCAAACUCUACGCAUCACCGCAGGAUAUGCGCACUGUGGGCUAUCGUGGGAGAUCUGAGCCAAAUAGGAGGCUCACAACGGGUAUUGUGGGACCCCUGCCGGGGAAUCAGUACGCUCAGCCAUGCCGUUCGUUGUCGAAUGCCUCCCAGCAGCGUCCUCAGGUUGCACCUCAAGUUGCUUCUUCUGUUAUCCCUGCACCACCAAUCCCUGAUCCCGAUUACAGCCUCAGUGAGUCAGACGGUGAGGAGGACAAUUCCGUGCUUCAGGGGAGGGUAAUUAGCAAAACUAAUGGCACAGUGAAGGAGCCACCACCACCCCCGGCAGAAAGUAGUGGCAACAGCAACACAAGUGGAAGCAGCACUGGUAGUAGCUCAAUGCCUCAUUCAUUCUCCGUGGAGGAAAUUCAGAAGAUGCGAACGAAGCUAAAAUCCUCCAAAUCCUAUCCGCAUGAUCUUCUCGGUGGUCAAGGGGAGAAGCAGCAACAGCAGCAGCAAGCGGGGAUGGGUAAUCGCAACGGGAACCUCGAAGAGGGUGAUAAUUCCUCGUCAGGUGUGAGCAGUGACCAGGAGAUCGCACUCAGUGCUCCUGAAGUGGCGACCAAAGCACCUGCGACAAAGGUGACUCCGGGUCCAUUGCCCAAGCCCCUCGUGGAGCCCGAUGCCGAGGUCCGGAGUGAUGACGAUGCAAGCCCAAGUCCACCGGCUAAGGGAUUCCAGCGACACAAUUCCCUCACGCGCAAACAAGCUGCCACAAUUGCCAUGAAUCGCGCCAUACAGACCAAACCCGCCGUUUCACUCACGCAACUCCCACCACCCAUUGAGACGGAGUCCGACGAUGGGGACUCGUGCGUCGUUCCCCCACCCAUGCACCUCAUUCAUCAUCAUCACCACCGACAUCACGCCGUAGCACGUGCCCCCAUUCCCGAGGACAACAUCGUCCUGGCGCCUCCGCCGCAAUUUUGCGAUUCCUUCGAUGGGCCGCAGCAGCGGAGUGUCCGGAUUGUGGGGGCUGUGCCCAAGGCUAAAAUGCAUUCCCAAUAAAAGUCUCACAGUCCCAAUCCCAUUAGCACCCCCACGUACUCCCAAUAAAACCACCCCCAUUCAAAAAUAAUGUACAAUUUGCAAGGAAACCAAGUCGGGAUGAUGAAUUUGAAAUAAUUGUUUUCUCAAAUAACUUUACAUAAAAAGCAUUUAUUUAUUAAUUUCAGCAUAAAUUUCAACAUAAAUUUCUAUUGAUUUGUAGCAUGUAAUUAAAAUUGUAUUUUUUGGAAAGUAUUUUCACCUUCAAUUCGAAGAAUUUGGGAAGGUAAAUUCAGGUUUAAAUAAAUUCCAGAUAAAUUGAAAUGAGUUCUACGUAAAUUCUCCUUUAGGAGCUUUAGAUAAAAGAGUUGGUAUUCCACUGUCAUUUCUAUUGAAUAAAUGAGGGUUUAAAACAGAAUAAAAUAAUUACGAAAGAAAUUUAAAUAAAGAAAAAAUUGAUCAAAAACGCGUUCUAAUCAUUUUUCAAAAAUUAAAGAAACAAGAAAAAUAAUCUUAAAAAGAAGAAAAUAUUUGUAACUGAUUUUUUCCAAACUAUGCGACAUAUACGCAUAGUUUUCAGUUAGUUAGUUGCCCCUUGACCACAAUGGUUAAUUAUUUGGUUUUUUUUCUAUAAUAUAAUAACACGUUAUUUCAUGGAAUUAACUGUCAGUGGCGUAGGUAAAAAAUGUUAAAACUUUUUUUUUUUUUUAAAUCAGGCAGUUAAUGCGUUUUCCAUUAGUGGUUGAAAGGAAUUGUUUUCAGGCAGGGGGAUGCCCAACCCCGAGAAAUCAGUACUUUUAGUGAGGCAGCAGGUUCUUCCGAUCAAAAUAAUGGAUCAGUUUGCACAAUUCCACUUGCAAUCGAAAGUACAUUUAAUUAGCUCUCGGUUGAUCCCUUCUCAUCAUCGAAAUAACAUUAUUAAUAUAAAAAAAGUUAAAGUGUUUCUCGGGAAUCGGUCGAGAUUGAGCGAGAUUCGAGAAUUCCUCAUACAUUUUGUUCAACAAAAAGUGACUUUUCUUCACUGAAAAUGAGGUUAAACCAUCCCCUUGUUUUCAGGCUAAAAUAUUCAUUAAAAAUCAAAAGAUAUUUUUGAACGUUAAAUAAAAUGUCAAAUUUUGAGGAAAAAAAAAGGAGAAGUCAAACUUUUGAAAAGAAACGUCAAAUGCUUGCAAGGGAACAUCAAAUGUUAGAAUAUUUAUCUAAAAUUUGAAAAGAAACGUUAGAAGAAAAAAUCAAAGAGUAAAAAAUGUCAAACAUUAGAAAAGGAACUUCAAACAUUUUAAAAUAUACCUACGUCAAUCGUUUGAAAAAAAAAAACAAUCCGGAACGACACGUGAAAUUUUUGUAAGAGAACGUCAAUCGUUAGAAAAAGGCAAAACAUUUGAAAAUUAACUGUCAAACAUUUGGAAAGAAUUGUCAAUUUUUUUUUUCAAAAAAAUACGUGGAAUAUUUAAAAUGAAACAUUAAAUGUUUGGAGAAAAACAUCAAAUGUUUGAACAAAUGUCAAAAGUUUGAAAAGACAUUUUAAUUGACAGAAAACAAAUUCUAAUUAUUAUAAAAGUUUUAUGAAAUGCUAGUAAAAAAGGCUGUAAAACUUUUGAAAGAAACAUCACAUGUUAAAAAGCAAACGUCCAAUAUUAAAAAAAAUGUCAAUUCUUAGAAAAGAAAAUGUCCAAUGUUUGAAAGAAUAAACGUCACGCCGUAGAAAAGAAAAUAUUGAACGUUAUAAAAGAAACGUCAAAAUUUAGAAAAGAUACGACGAACGUUUGAAAUUAAACGUCAAAAAUUUAGAAAGGAAUGUCAAAUGUUAGAAUAAUCGUUGCAAGUUUGAAAUGAAAUGUCAAAAUAAAUGUCAAACAGAGAUGAAACUUCAAACAUUAAAACUACAUACUUUAUAUCUCAUCGGUAUAAUAAAUCAAAUUCCUCCGCACACUAAAUGACAUUCGUGGAAUACCAACUACACUACAAAUCUCAAUUGCCUCACUAUAUAUAUAUAUAUAUAUAUAGCAAUAUAUGCUCUAAAGAACUCUAUGUAGCUCUAAAGUUUGUUCAGGCAUUCGAUGAUGUUUUGCAAUGUCCUUUUGUACCUUUUGAAUGAGAAUUAAUUUUGUUGUGAAUGAAUAGAGAGGAAGGAGAGCCUGAAGUAUGUAGUUGACGUUCCUCUGCAAAAGGACGUUCUCAUUCAUUUGAAAGGACAUUACUCAGUUUGCAUCAUUGCAAUGAGAAAGUCUUUUGAUGCUUGACAAAAUAUUUCCUUCAUUGAAAAGUUCUUUUGAGGGAAAAAUGUAUGAAAAUUCUAGGAAAAUUAAGAGGUAUUUUCCUCGAUUUUAUUGAACGUUGUCCUUCGUCUCGAUUUGGUUUUUCUUGCAAGAAAACGAAACUCAAUGUCCCCCAAAAGGAAUCCGAAUAGAGGAAAAAAGAUGAAGGAAAAAAAGAAUAUUAAAAAAAAAUGAUUAAAAAUGUGUCUAAAUGUUAGUCAAUGAAAAUGUUCACUUCAUGUAAACUUUCAUGUUCAUUGCAUUCUUUGGUGAAAGAUAAAAAAGGAAAUCAUAGCGCAGGUAGAAUUUGUAGGAAAUAAGUCGCUCAGAGGUUUUAAAAAAAAAAAUAAACAAAUAAAUAAAAAGUUUGCGGGUUAAUUCCGUAUUUUAUAGGCUUGAAGAUGGAACAAUUUUUACCCCAGAAAAUAAAAUAUUAGAUAGAUCGUGCACGAAAAUUCCUCACAUUUUCAGGUCUUUCUUCGGCAAGGACUUUUUUAAAGCAAAAUGACAAAGACUCUAAGAGAAAUUUUUGCUCAAGAUAUCUUACAUUUUAAGGGCCUCAAAACAUCAAAGACACACUAAGAAAAAAUAAGAAAUUUCCCUCCGUUCAGCAAUAGAAUCCACAUAAAAAUGACCAGAAACAACGAAAAAAUAUUUCGUCUCAAUUCAUUUUCAGGAUGAAAAAAACAAUUUUUUUUUAAAUAUUUUUUCUCACUAAAAAUGGCAAUGAAAAUAAAACAGAAAAGACCUAUAAAAGAUUUUUUAAAUGAUUCUUAAAGAGAAAGAAAUCUUUGCUAAAUGAUCUUUCAAUUUGAUAACAUCUUAUUCUUAAGAGAAACAUUAAAACAAUGAAGAAAAAAAAGGAAAGAACAUUCAAAAUUCUUAAGCUAUUUACACCUUUGCAAGAAGAAUUUCAGUUUUUUUUUAUAUUAUAUAUAAAAAUAAAUAGAAAGAUUUGUAGAAAAUAAAAAGAAAUGAGGCAUGAAAGGGCAGAAAAUAUUAACAAGAUUGAUAGGAUAGUUUUUCUUUUAUUAAUAUUUAGUAUAAAAAUGUAUUUGUUUUUUCUUUUAAUUUUCUUUGUAAUUUUGUUGUGAUAUAAAUUUAAUUCCUCUACUAUUGAUUAAUUUUCUUGAAUAAUAAAAUAAAUAGAUUUUCCCCCUGCAAUUUAUCUCUAUAAAUUAGUUAAUUUAUAUUAAAAAAAAAACAAAGAAAUGAAAAUUAAAAUAUUGAUUUUCCUUCUAGCAGACAAACGUGUGUAGCGUUCGCUUUUUGCAUGAAUUUCUUUAAAAAUAAAAUCUGAACCGCAAGAAAUAAAUUGAUAAGCCCCUGGAAUGAUUUAGUACUAAAUUGGAAGAAAAUGUCAAUUUGUUUUGUAUGUAUGUGUGUGUUCAGAGUUGUUCGCUAAUUCUUUUUAUAAUUUCAGUCAGUCUCGAUUGAUCACUCCAUUAGGACGGAGCGCACUCGCUCUCCGUCCGGAGAAAGAAUUAAUAAAGAUGGUCCCCAUCUUGUGGGUUCGUGUGAAAAGUUGGUGGCACGACAGCCUCUCAAAAGGAGACGUAUUCCGGAUCCCAUUGGCCGGAAGAUCAACACGAGUGCUUCGUGGGAAGUUGGAGAGUACGGCGGGCACCAAUGAAGCCCCAAACGUUCGUCGCGGGAAGACUUGGAGAGUUACUCAAGGUCGACGCGGGAUGAUCGCCCCUGCGGGGCAUAGAAGAUCGCCGGAAGGAUUCGUCGAGGGAAGAUUGAAAUCCGGGAGUGGCACUUUGCCCGGCACCGUGUGAAACGACGACUCCGCCACAAUUUGGCCUCCGAGGGAGCACCUUAGCCACAUUUUGGCCACCGAGGGAAACCCCAGAAUGAAGAGAAGAGACUGGAGAACCGUAAAUAUGUUCUAUGUUUUCAGUCUCGAUUGAUCACUCCAUUAGGACGGAGCGCACUCGCUCUCCGUCCGGAGAAAGAAUUAAUAAAGAUGGUCCCCAUCUUGUGGGUUCGUGUGAAAAGUUGGUGGCACGACAGCCUCUCAAAAGGAGACGUAUUCCGGAUCCCAUUGGCCGGAAGAUCAACACGAGUGCUUCGUGGGAAGUUGGAGAGUACGGCGGGCACCAAUGAAGCCCCAAACGUUCGUCGCGGGAAGACUUGGAGAGUUACUCAAGGUCGACGCGGGAUGAUCGCCCCUGCGGGGCAUAGAAGAUCGCCGGAAGGAUUCGUCGAGGGAAGAUUGAAAUCCGGGAGUGGCACUUUGCCCGGCACCGUGUGAAACGACGACUCCGCCACAAUUUGGCCUCCGAGGGAGCACCUUAGCCACAUUUUGGCCACCGAGGGAAACCCCAGAAUGAAGAGAAGAGACUGGAGAACCGUAAAUAUGUUCUAUGUUUGUGAGUUUGUUUCAAUCUUAUAGAUUGAUGGCGCCCAAAGUAAAAUUAGAGUAAAAUCAAAUUUCAAUUAGUUCUUUUGCUGGAAAAUAAAACGUAACUUCUUCUUCUUUUAUAAAAUCAAAUUCUUUUAUAAUCAUAAAAAAAUCUAUUAAUUAAAGUCUAAAAUAUUGCAAGUAAAGAUUUUGUAUUUAAUUUUGUCAACUUCUUUGGUGGUGAAAAAUAAAAUAUAAAUUUUCAUUGAUCCACCAAA